AUUGAACGCUGGCGGCAGGCCUAACACAUGCAAGUCGAACGAGUGGCGGACGGGUGAGUAAUGUCUGGGAAACUGCCUGAUGGAGGGGGAUAACUACUGGAAACGGUAGCUAAUACCGCAUACCAUCAGAUGCACCCAAGUGGGUUGAGCUAGUGGGUUGGGAAACGGCUCACCAAGGGGACGAUCCCUAGCUGGUCUGAGAGGAUGACCAGCCACACUGGGACUGAGACACGGUCCAGACGCCUACGGGAGGCAGCAGUGGGGAAUAUUGCACAAUGGGCGCAAGCCUGAUGCAGCCAUGCCGCGUGUAUGAAGAAGGCCUUCGGGUUGUAAAGUACUUUCAGCAGGGAGGCGUUACCCGCAGAAGAAGCACCGGCUAACUCCGUGCCAGCAGCCGCGGUAAUUC
rnacentral:rRNA from 1 species